AUGGUUUCUUAGAAGAUUGCCCGUGACCUGCCACCCCUCACGCUGAUUUGGGUAUUGUCAGCUGUUUCGUUAAGGGCUGUUGCCACUCCCAGUAACUCGUGGCUCUUCAUUCUUGCUGCACAAUUGGCGAGAUGCUGUUGUGGGAACUGAGCCACCCUAUGGGUGAUUGCUGGGCACCAGCACUGCCCGUCAGCUUGAGUCGCCUCCCAGUUAAUGACAGCUAUGUCGCACUUCCAAGACUGCUUCAAAGUGUCCUUGACAGAUUCUGUUUCCUGCUUCAUUUCCCAGUCACGGUGCUCAUGCAGUUGGAAUGUUUUACUCCACUUUUUUCAUGCUUUCACAGUUUGUGACUAGAAGUCUGCUGUAAUUCAUAUCCUUGUUUCGCUAUAGGUGCAAUGUCUCAUGAAGCAUGACAAGCACUUGACGUGCCUUCCUUCUGAAAUGAGAUAGUUUUUCCUAAUCGCUUGCCCAUGCAUACAUACAAUGCAUGCUUCGUGAUCCACGUGGCCACUUCCAUCUCUUCAGUGGCCUAAGGACAGACACUAAAAAUAAGCUCAUGAUUUGUAAGAAAAACAGAUAGGGAUGAAUUCCAAAUAACCGUAUCCAACUUACAUAAACCAGCUCAAUAAGGCAUUUUACUAAUUUAAUUUCUGUUUACCACAUAUUGAUUGGAUUGAUCAGUAUUCAUUCAGAUUUGUUCCUGGCUGUGUGUGUUGUGUAUUGAUUCUGCUUUUUGUCAGCCUAUUAAUUUUCAAUAAUGUCUCAGAAAUUGCAGAUGAGCAAAUUAAAGUGUAAUGUUAUAAUGUGUAAUAUUACUUUAAUAUCUGUUUUUCAAAACAAAACAGACCAGUAUCACACU